CCCUUAAUAACCCUACAGAGAAGUGCCUCACCAACCAUGCAAGUGUCUCGCUCGGUGUCGCUGCCGCCACUGGUCCAAGUCAUGUGAUCAGGUGCAAGUUGUCUGAGCACUGGUUUCUGAUUGGAAGGUUAAGGAGGUGGCCACUCUGAGUUUAAGGCUGGUGCUGCUCUCCAGGACCUUACUAUGCAGGUGUUGAGUCACCAAAGCUGUUCUGGAUGAAUGAAGAGACUGUGACACUGCUGCUGGGGAUGCAUUCUUGACGACAUUGCAGGUCACCACUACACAGAGGUCAAAAAAAUAUUGGAAGAAGCGGCAGA